rfam:Ceriporiopsis subvermispora B unplaced genomic scaffold CERSTscaffold_4, whole genome shotgun sequence.
GCCCGUUUAGCUCAGUGGUAGAGCGCGCCACUCGUAAGCGCGGCGCAGCACUGAGCCCAACGCAAUGGUGAGGUCGGUUGUUCAAUCCAGCCAAUGGGCA